UACGUAGGGUGCAAGCGUUGUCCGGAAUUAUUGGGCGUAAAGAGCUCGUAGGCGGUUUGUCGCGUCGAAUGUGAAAACCCGGGGCUCAACCCUGGGAUGCCGGUCGAUACUGCCGGACUAGAGUUCGGAAGAGGCGAGUGGAAUUCCCGGUGUAGCGGUGAAAUGCGUAGAGAUCCGGAGGAACACCGACGGCGCAGGCAGCGUCCUGGCCGCUUGCUGACACUGAGGCACGAAAGCUGGGGGAGCAAACAGG
rnacentral:rRNA from 1 species